UUUUAGAACUCCCCAAGCCCGGAAUGUAACCAGACCAAUUAAUUCAGAAUCCCUCCGGAGAGACUCAAGCAUCAGUAUUUUAAAAGUUCCCUGGGUGAUUACAGAGUUCAGCCUGGCCUGAGAGCUACGUUCCAGAUUAAGCACUGCCUGAGGAGGGCCUCUGUGGUGGCACACUCCUACCUACACCCUUGGGUAAUGCCCUCCCCUGAGGGUGGCCUGAACCUGCAGAGCUGCUUCUCACGGAGAGAAUACAACAAAAGUGAGGAGACCUCCCUUCAGAGAUCAGGUUACAAAAGGCUGCAACUUCUGAGCUGCUCAGACUUUCUCUCUGGCUCUUCUUUCGCUCUGAGGAAGCCAGCUGCUGCGUUGUGAGAGCAGAGCAGAGAGGCCCCCUGGCAAGGAACAGAGGCUGCCCCCCUGCUGGUGGCCCUUCAGGGAUUUGUGAUGGUCAGUUGUAUGUGUCGGCCUGGCCAGACUAUUCAAUGAAACGCUCAUCCAGGUGUUACCGUGAAGGUAUUUUGAAGAUGGAAUGACCACAUCAAGUCAGUUGACUUUAUGCCAAGGAGAUAUUCCUGGAUAAUCUAGGUCAGAUUCAAUGAACUGAAAGCCUUAAAAACAGAGCUGAGGUUUCCCGGAGGAGAUGGAGUGUAGCAUCAACUCCAGCCGGAAAGAUUACACCUGCCUUUCUGACAGCCUGCCUUAUAGAUUUCAGACUUACCUGGCCAGCCACCGCAGUUACCUGAGGCAAUUCCUUGCACUAUCUACACCUAGAGACAGAUGGAGAUGUGGAUGCUGAUUGAGUGGGGGUGCAGGUGCAGCACCCACAGCCACCCAUACCUGAGGAUCCAGGUGUAGAUGUGGCCACGGACAUGGACAAAGCUAUAUGCUACGGACUCUGUUUCCUGGUGGAGCCCAAACUUAUACAGACCUGAAUCCAGUCAACAACCACUAAGUGAGCUUGGGUGUGGAUCCACCACAUGUCCAACCUUCAGAUGAGCUGCAAGCCACCAACUUGAUUGCCGGCGUAUGAGAGAUAUUCAGCUAAGCUAUAUCUGGAUUCUUAGAGAAACUAGGAGAUGAUAAAUGUUGUUGGGUUAAGCUGUUGUCAUGAUAAUUUGAUACCCAGCAACAGCUAACUAAUACAGCCAUCACUUCAGACUGUGCAGGAUGUGGCCUUCCCCAAGGCAGUUAGCUAAGAGGCCAGGAGGAAGGGACCUUUUUCUAUUUUAUGCAAAGGAAAUCCUGUGGGAUGGCAAUGGCCCUGAGUUGAGGAUAAGGAGAGGAUGGGUCUCUUCAUUUUACUAAUGAAAAAAUAAACUCCUGGGAGACUCAGUCUCAGGGAGAUUAAGCAUCUUACCCAGUGUCAAGAGCCAGGAUUAGGAACCAGGAAUUGAGUUCCAGUCUAGAUUUUUCUAGUAAGCUAUUCGCCACCUAGAUUCCUGGGUCUAUAUCCCUACGCUGCCCUGUGGCACUGGUGGUCCCCACUGUGGUGCUCUUGCUUUUUGACACAGCAGAAUGAACCUCAUCUUGUCCAUUUUCUGCUCCAGAUGAUGAGUCAGUCUUUUUUUUUUUUUUUUUUCUCAGAAUACUCUGAUUGCUUUCAUGAGAAAGUUGUAUUAGAAGCCACAAUCUGGGUGUCAUUGCUUCUUGGUCUUUCUGUUUUUGUUUUGUUUUGUUUUGUUCAAUGGCCACACCCACGGGUCACAGAAGUUCUGGGUCAGGGAUCCAAUCCAAGCUGCAGCUGCAACCUCGGCCACAGCUGCAGCAAUAGUGGAUCCUUGACCCACUUUGCUACAGCAGGAACUCUGCCGCUUGGUCUUUUUGAUGGACAGAGCUAGGAACUAUUUUUUAAGAGAAAAAAAAAAGAUCAUAAGACUAUUCUGAUAUAUUUCAUUCAAAUUUCAUAUUAGAAGGUUUUUAUUUAACGUCUUUAAUUUUAUGCUUUCUCUUACGCUAGAAAUCUUGAUUUCUAGUGACCGUCCAAUAAAUAUGUAUUUGCUUUACAUUAAUAACAAAUAAUGGUCUCAUAAUAACAAUAUUAAUAUUACUACUAAUAGUAAGAGUUUUGAAUGAAGAUUUAUUGGCUCCUCUUUUGAUCCUCAGAACAAUUUUUCCUAGAGCUGUAGACUCAAAAUAUUGUUUCCAGUUACACCAAGGAGGUUUUUUCUGUGUGGUUCUGCUACAACCGGAUAGAGACAGGGUUAAUUGCUCUCGGUUUUUAGGAAUUGCUUUUUAUCUGACUUCUAUUUCAUUAGUUAAACUACACGACACAAGUGCAUGUUUCUGAACUGAGCAGGACCCUGUGAGGCCCUCCCAGAAUAGACCUCCCCCUACUCAAGUCCGCUGCCUGCCUUUUGUCUAUAGAAAAACUUUAGUCAAAGAAGCCCUAUAAUCAGAGAAGUGAGAAAAUACAGAGAAAAAGGAAAACAGUCCAGCAAGGCAAAAUAGGAAUAUAGCCAUUUAAAGAAGUCAAGGACCUUUUAGUUAGUUCUUCUUUAAGGACUAUAGAUAAGAGUUCCCGUCGAGGCACAGCAGAAACGAAACUGACUAGGAACCAUGAGGUGGCUGGUUGGAUCCCUGGCCUUGCUCAGUGGGUUAAGGAUCCAGCGUUGCUGUGGGCUGUGGUCUAGGUUGCAGAGGCGGCUCGGAUCUGACACUGCUGUGACUCUGGCGCAAGCUGGCAGCUGCAGCUCCGAUUUGGACCCCUAGCCAGAGAACCUCCAUCUGCUGUGGGUGCGGCUCUAAAAGGACAAAAGCCAAAAAAAAAAAAGGACUAUAGAUAAUAUUCUGAGCCGUGUCCUUGGAGCUGUUUUGCAGGUGCUGAAGCCCCACUGGGUGGAAGACGUCAACUAUCUGCUGCCCACAAGCACGGAGACCUCAGACCACGUGGGACCAGAAGGUUGAUGAUGCUGACUCCCAGUGACCUCACCACCAACCAAUCAGGAAAGUGUCCGUGAGCUGAUCACGCCCUCCUCCUCCAACGAACGCUAUCAGACCCCUCACUUCCCCCUCAAGGGCGCAGCAUCCUUGAGGCACUCGCCUGCUGUAUCACCUCGCCUGGCAGUGAAAGCUACUUUUUCUGUUUCCUUCAACUCUUUCUCUACAUUUCCAUUUGGCAUCGGUGUACAGAGGCUGCUGCUAUUUCAGCAACUGUUCCAAACAGAACUAUAUACUAAAUAUAUUCAUGGAAGCCGUCCCUGCAGCCUGUCUCGUCCACACCAGUACACGGAUGACCAUCGUUGUUCUUUUCCCGUUUGGGCUCUCACACGGCAGUGAAUAGAUGCUCCUGUGCUAUACGAUAGGUCCUUGUUACUCUCUGCAGGCAAGAAGUCGGAAUACGCGGGACCAGGCCCUGCUAAGAACCUCACACUGUCGCAAGGUAUUAGCCAGGCUGGAUCCUUAUCUGAACGUUUUGGAGAGGAAUCCACUUCCAAGUUCAUCCAGGUUGUUGGCACAUUCUGUUCCUCGACACCGUGGGGCUGAAGUCUCACGUCCAUGCUGCCUGGGUGUACGACUAUAAAUAUAAUAACAGUCAUUGAGGGUUUUUUUUUUUUAAGGCAGAGCAGAAAUAAAGUGUGACAUCAGCAGUUCCCUUCACACUGGCCUGUGAAUUUCUCCGUCCACAGAGAGUUGUGACCAAACCCAGGACUGUCCAUGACUGUGUGAAAUCCUUCCCCAGGUGUACUAUCCCACGUCACAGAGCUAAAAGGUAGGCCUUCAAAGGAGUCACUUAAGUAGAAACCACACAAGUAACACGCCCAGGGCUGUUGUUUGAGUCCUAGGUGGGUCUGGUCUGCGUGUUUGUGCCUAAUGGCCAAUGAUUCUACAAACCGUGACAAAACAUGCUUCUUAUCAGGCACCUGCGGCCACUCCCGACUCUGGGUUGACAGAUGCUCCAGCCUCUUCUCUCAUUGCUUGAAUAGCACUGUGGGCCUGAGGGUUUCUUUGGGACACAGUCAACAGAGAGGAAGACUGGAAUGCAACCAUCAGCCUCCUGUACAGCAGUGAGGACUGGGCUACACCCAUAUGAAGACAACUUUCGUUAGGGCUUUUGGCAGAAAUGCUUGACGUGCUGCCUUCCUGUCUCAGGCGAGAGGCCAGGAGUACCAGACAGGAGAGGGGCCUCAGAUGCACAGGUCCA